rnacentral:rRNA from 1 species
ACAGUCACACAUUAGAUACCCCGGUAGUCCCAGCCCUAAACGAUGCGCGUUAGGUGUAUCGGUGACCACGAGUCACCGAGGUGCCGAAGGGAAACCGUGAAACGUGCCGCCUGGGAAGUACGGUCGCAAGGCUGAAACUUAAAGGAAUUGGCGGGGGAGCACCACAACGGGUGGAGCUUGCGGUUUAAUUGGAUUCAACGCCGGAAAUCUUACCGGGACCGACAGCAACAUGAAGGCCAGGCUGAAGACUUUGCCGGAUUAGCUG